CAGCAGCCGCGGGAAUACAGAGGGUGCGAGCGUUAAUCGGAUUUACUGGGCGUAAAGCGUGCGUAGGCGGCUUUUUAAGUCGGAUGUGAAAUCCCUGAGCUUAACUUAGGAAUUGCAUUCGAUACUGGGAAGCUAGAGUAUGGGAGAGGAUGGUAGAAUUCCAGGUGUAGCGGUGAAAUGCGUAGAGAUCUGGAGGAAUACCGAUGGCGAAGGCAGCCAUCUGGCCUAAUACUGACGCUGAGGUACGAAAGCAUGGGGAGCAAACAGGAUUAGAUACCCGAGUAGUCCCUGUCUCUUACAC
rnacentral:rRNA from 1 species